UACGUAGGUGGCAAGCGUUGUCCGGAAUUAUUGGGCGUAAAGCGCGCGCAGGCGGUCCUUUAAGUCUGAUGUGAAAGCCCACGGCUCAACCGUGGAGGGUCAUUGGAAACUGGAGGACUUGAGUGCAGAAGAGGAGAGUGGAAUUCCACGUGUAGCGGUGAAAUGCGUAGAGAUGUGGAGGAACACCAGUGGCGAAGGCGGCUUUCUGGUCUGUAACUGACGCUGAGGCGCGAAAGCGUGGGGAGCAAACAGG
rnacentral:rRNA from 1 species